GGCUCGGUGGUGGGCGGUCCACGUUUGCGACUUAUAAAUAAAGUUUUAUUGAUCGUUGACAGUAAAGGUGCCCGUUCGACUCGGGCCUGAGCCA